GAAUUCGCCCUUAUAGUUUGAUCCUGGCUCAGGACGAACGCUGGCGGCGCGCUUAACACAUGCAAGUCGAGCGAUGAAAUCUUGACAGAACCCUUCGGGGGGAAGAUAAGAUGGAUUAGCGGCGGACGGGUGAGUAACACGUGAGUAACCUGCCUUAGACAUUGGGAUAGCCUCGGGAAACCGGGAUUAAUACCAAAUGAAAAUCACAUAUGCACAUGCAUAAAUGAUCAAAGCUCCGGCGGUCUAAGAUGGACUCGCGUCCCAUUAGCUAGUUGGUGAGGUAACGGCCCACCAAGGCGACGAUGGGUAGCCGGCCUGAGAGGGUGAACGGCCACAUUGGAACUGAGAAACGGUCCAAACUCCUACGGGAGGCAGCAGUGGGGAAUAUUGCACAAUGGAGGGAACUCUGAUGCAGCGACGCCGCGUGAACGAAGAAGGCUUUCGAGUCGUAAAGUUCUUUUAUAUGGGAAGAUAAUGACGGUACCAUAAGAAAAAGCCCCGGCUAACUACGUGCCAGCAGCCGCGGUAAUACGUAGGGGGCUAGCGUUGUCCGGAAUCACUGGGUGUAAAGGGUUCGCAGGCGGAAAUGCAAGUCAGGUGUAAAAGGCAGUAGCUUAACUACUGUAAGCAUUUGAAACUGCAUAUCUUGAGAAGAGUAGAGGUAAGUGGAAUUUUUAGUGUAGCGGUGAAAUGCGUAGAUAUUAAAAAGAAUACCGGUGGCGAAGGCGACUUACUGGGCUCAUUCUGACGCUGAGGAACGAAAGCGUGGGUAGCAAACAGGAUUAGAUACCCUGGUAGUCCAC
rnacentral:rRNA from 1 species